rnacentral:rRNA from 1 species
AACGGCCGCGGUAUUUUGACCGUGCAAAGGUAGCGCAAUCAAUUGUCUUUUAAAUGAAGACCCGUAUGAAUGGCACAACGAGGGCUUAACUGUCUCCUUUUUCCAGUCAAUGAAAUUGAUCUUCCCGUGCAGAAGCGGGAAUUCUUACAUAAGACGAGAAGACCCUAUGGAGCUUAUUAAACACAAGAACAGAUCAUGUCACUUACCUUAGUUAUUGCUAGAAAAAAAACUAAAUGACUCCUGCUCCCAUGUUUUUGGUUGGGGCGACCAUGGAGUAAAAUUAAACCUCCACGUAGAACGAAAAUAUAUUAUUUUCCAAUUCAAGAAAAACAACUCUAAAAACCAGAAUCUCUGACUUUUAUUGAUCCGGCAAAGCCGAUUAACGAACCGAGUUACCCUAGGGAUAACAGCGCAAUCCUCUUUUAGAGUUCCUAUCGACAAGAGGGUUUACGACCUCGAUGUUGGACCAGGACAUCCUAAU